rnacentral:lncRNA from 1 species
GUUUUGUUUUUCAUCCCGCAGGGUGUCCAACAAACACCCUCCUCACCAAGCAAGCUUGGUGGGGUUGCCGUUUAGACGCCGACGGCCCGACCAUGCAACAGGUUGUACUCGAUUACAUGUUGUCAGUAGCACUCGAAAGAGACCUGACAUAAUAUAUAUAUAUAUAUUAUAUAUAUAUAUAUAUAUAUAUAUAUAUACAUACAAAGAGAGAGAGAGAGAUAAGAGCCACCACAUUUCCUGAUAGUGUCAAUGCCCGUUGGCACCGGCACCUGAGGCCUCGCCAAAGUUAUUCUGAUCGCCAGGAGACAAAUGUUAAAGUGAAUAUCCUACACUGCUAACAGUAUUUGGAAUAUAUGUAAAGGGUGUGUGUGCGUAUAUAUCCUCUGUGGAGAUCUAAAACAAAGUUUCCCACUCUCAGGGCCAACUUUUAUAGGAUCCAAAAUGCAUAAUGCAGGAACAGGUACCUGCACGUUGAAGUUCAUAGUGACAUUCAGUGUAGGUAUUUACCAGUGUUGGUGUCUUUGCAGUGAAAGUGAUAGAUCCAGUAAACCCCCAAGGCACUCACUACUUUCCCCAGCUGCCAGAUAUGAACUCUGUUGGAAACUGCCUUCAAUCUGAUUGUCACAUUGUUUUUCUCUCAGGAUGUUAUGUAAUCAAAUAGCCACAUGGCAGCAGGCUGGUUGUUAAGUGCCAGAGAAUAUCCAUCAUAAUGAAGCUGCACAUUAUCUCUGGGACCCACUGCUGCUUUGAGUUUCCCUACAACAGCCCCCACUUACUAUGUAUGUCUGUAGGGAGUCUAGUAAGAGUUUUAAUAGGGAAGAGAUUCUGUAUUCUCACACUAGACUGGUUCCAAGUUUAUCAUCCGGGCUUAAUUAACAGUGUUGAGCAAUAAGCUUUACUAAGGUAGUAUUGAACUAGAUGUUUCUACACUAUCAUAUACUCACACUCAUCCCUACAUUGCUUUCGAUACAAGAUAUUCUCUUGAUCAAUUAAAGACCAGAGAUAAUAACUUCAGUGUGUCUUUAUGACAAACAGAUGUUCAGGCCUAUCAGUUGAAUGGGUCACUGUUUUGGCCCCUUGGUGUAAGCAACCUUAUUUCACUGACAUUGCUGAUACUUUUUGAAAUGGUAUCAACACAACAACUUUCUAUUUUUCUAAACUUAAUGUUGCAACUUUGAUGUCUUUAGAAACACCUUUGCAUAAGUUCCAUUAUAGUUGACAUGUAGACAGGUGUUGCUUUGUUCCCUUUCACAAGACAAUUAGCUCUAAUUACCCAGCAAGGUCUUUGUAUGUUAUCAAUAUAAUUUUCAUUAUAAUGAGGUUUAUUUCUUAAUUAUUAUUUUCAUCUGUUGUUUUAUGGAAUUCUGCUCAGUUUAAUUUUGCUUCCAACGAAACCCUUUCUUUAGUCUAAGAAACAUUUUAGACUGUCUCAAUAAAAGUAUUAUUUAGUCUUCAUAUCAUUUUUUACAUUGUAUUAAGGACUUCCUGGAUAAUUCUUGUUAAACCCCAUAAACAUGUUUUCUGAACUGCCUCUAACCCCAAAUUACGAUCAAGUUUUUCAAGGGACUUCAGAUGUCUGAUAGAAAUGGGGGAGAAACACUGACAAAACCGUUUUUUAUUAAAUCAUUUAAGAGUUAUUUUAAUAUCAACUUGGUUAUAUUUCAGAAAUUAUGGCAUCAAAUCAAAUAUAA